rnacentral:rRNA from 1 species
CUGCGAGUGAAGCGGCAAAAGCUCAAAUUUGAAAUCUGGCGNCUUCGACGUCCGAGUUGUAAUYURGAGAGAUAUCUUCGGGAUGGACACCGGCCCAARUUSCUUGGAACAGGACGUCACAGAGGGUGAGAAUCCCGUGUCUGGYUGGUUGCUCCAUUCCAUGUGAA